rnacentral:rRNA from 1 species
CUACGGGGCGCAGCAGUGGGGAAUAUUGGACAAUGGGGGGAACCCUGAUGCAGCAACGCCGCGUGGAGGAUGACGCAUUUCGGUGUGUAAACUCCUUUUAUAUGUCAAGAAAAUGACGGUAGCAUAUGAAUAAGCGCCGGCUAACUCCGUGCCAGCAGCCGCGGUAAUACGGAGGGCGCAAGCGUUACUCGGAAUCACUGGGCGUAAAGGACGCGUAGGCGGGUUGAAAAGUCAGGUGUGAAAGCCUACAGCUUAACUGUAGAACUGCACUUGAAACUCUCAACCUAGAGUAUGGGAGGGGCAGAUGGAAUUAGUGGUGUAGGGGUAAAAUCCGUAGAUAUCACUAGGAAUACCUAAAGCGAAGGCGAUCUGCUGGAACAUUACUGACGCUAAGGCGUGAAAGCGUGGGGAGCAAACAGGAUUAGAUACCCUUGUAGUC